UUCGCAAUGCCCGAAAGGGUGACGAAGCGACGCCGCGUGAGCGAAGAAGGCCUUAGGGUUGUAAAGCUCUGUCAGGGGUUAAGAAAUGCAGGCAGGUUAAUACCCUGUUUGUUUGACAAAGGCCCCAAAGGAAGCCACGGCUAACUCUGUGCCAGCAGCCGCGGUAAUACAGAGGUGGCGAGCGUUGUUCGGUAUUAUUGGGCGUAAAGAGCACGUAGGUGGUUUUGUAAGUCAGAUGUGAAAGCCUUCCGUUCAAAGGAAGAACGGCAUCUGAAACUGCUGAUCUUGAGUGUAGGAGGGGAGAGUGGAACUUCUGGUGGAGCGGUGAAAUGCGUAGAUAUCAGAAGGAACGUCGGCGGCGAAAGCGACUCUCUGGCCUAUUACUGACACUGAGUGUGCGAAAGUUAGGGGAGCAAACGGGAUUAGAUACCCCGGUAGUCCUAACCGUAAACGAUGGGCACUAAGUAGAGGGGUUUU
rnacentral:rRNA from 1 species